GUUCAGAUGAUGAGUUAAAACUGUUCAACUGCUGUAUGAUACAGACAUGAACUAAAACUUAAUUCUGAUAGAA
ensembl:snoRNA Gm24299 small nucleolar RNA SNORD5